UUUAAUACAAAGUGCUGCUUUAUUGAUAGCCCUAGGCCAGUGUAAUUAAAGCAACAUUAUGCUUUUUGCUCCCCUCUCUCCCCAGGUUGUUUUUAAACAUUUGAAAAGUUCCUAAGAAUAUAUAAAACGUUGCUGUAACCUGACAGAGGCAGGAGUUUGGGAUGCCACCGUUACCAGCAGAAACACAUUGAUCUUAAAAAAUGGUAAUUUAUGUCCAUUAAAACGUAUUCAUUGGACUUUAUACAUACUGGACUUUGUACAUAUAUGACUUCAGGAGGAGAUGCCAUUUGCAGAACUAAAAAAGAAGAGCAACUCAAAGUUGUUGCAGUUAAGUUUGGUCCUACGCAGGGCUGAUGAGCAAAGAGGUCAGAUUCACUGAAAUGGGUGUGCAUGGAGGCCACCUGUAAUACCCCAUCCCUGUUCCAUGGACAGCCCUCACUAGGAACAAUUCAGCCACAAGACUAAAAGCAUAUUCCAUGUAUCUACCCUUCUUAUGCUCCACCUGAGGCACAUUCAUGCCAUCCUAGACAAACCCAUCUGACUCUAUGAAAAAGCAGUUUGCUCAUAUCUAAGAGCAUAACUUCAAAAUUGCAGGUAAGAAGAAAUUUAAAUUAUUCCGGGUCUCUAUUAAACAAAAGAUGACACGGUGUGGGUUUCCUGCAUAGGAACUGCAGACACUUGCUUAGUAAAAACUUGUAUCCCUUUUCAUGUGAAACAGCAGUUCAGAAACAGUAUUUUUUUUUGUUUAUUUAGCUUUUGAAGGCUGCUAUUAAACUCAACAUGUUAGAUGUGCAUCCCAGAUUGAAGCAACCAAACCACAUCUUUUAAGCAUCAUGUAAGACAAGUGAAUUAAUUGCAGCCAAAUCCCUAUUUUUGGGGACUACAUAACCAACAGAGCAGUGGUUUAAAAAAAGCAAGCCACCAACCAGCUGGCUGUAUUAACAAGAGAAGAUCCCUUCCCAGCACAACAGGCCUCACUACACUAUGCAGAUAUUAAAAGCACUUACAGUUUUGAUUGACAGAAACCUGGCCUAAGCAGUUGAGAACUGUGCAAUUCAUCCAGUUUAAAGUAAAUGCAAUGUAUUAAAUAACUUGGCCCUGAUAGAAUUUUUCAGGCCUUGCCCUGCUUCACAAGACUGUGUGUGGCCUGCAGUUUCUCAGACAUAGAAAAGAAAGGAAGUGUUACACAAAAGCUGCAUUCUUUCUGCUGUUUCCCCCCAUCCCUUCUUUGCACAAGAUCUUCUGCCUUUGUCUAUGUGUACAUAAACCAGGGGAAAGCUUCAGUUUCUGAACACCAGUAGUAAGGACUCCUGGAAAACAGCUAUUGCAGUCAUUUGUACAUGUAAGCUAUUGCUUACAUUCCUCUUCUAUAAUUAUAUUGCUAUAGAGACUGUUUUUUAAGAUGUGGAGAAUUUUGGAAGCAUUUAUAAACAAGCCAGCAUAUUUAUAAACAAAGCUUUUUAUUAAUAAAAUGUUUACACCUUUUUUUUUUUGCACAAUACAUCAGACUGGUAGUGAUUUAGCAUGUUAUUACACUAUAAAAGUUUAUUAUGAAUGCUUAGGCUGAAAAGGCUGUUUAGAUUAUGUCAAAUCAACAUUUCUUUAUUUGCAUUCUAUGCACUAUAUGGGAGUGUAACAAUUCAAAGAAAAAGGAGAGAACAAAAGCCUGGUUUUCCUCAUUAGCAUCUACAAACCAACAAUACAGACAAACCUGUACACGCUCUCAGGACCAGCCCAAGAGAAGACUAAAAAAAAAAGUCUCAAAACAUUCAUAAGCUUGGGAAUUCAUCACUACAAUAUUUCAUCACUAGUAAUCUGACUACACUUCAUGCAGUGAAGCAAUGGUUGGGAAUUUGUGCAGUUUACAGUGCUGCAAAUGCUCUGUAACUUUGAGCGGCUUAAGUUUGUUUUAGUAAGAGAUAAUAUAGUAACAAGGCACAGACCUUUCAACCUUUGUAACAGGUUAACCCAAUCCUAGAAUGGAAAGGCAGAAUGUUGUUAUGAGUGACAAGAAUUGCUGAUACAAAGGUUAACCUUGACACAUUUUACAGGCAAACAUUUACUACACUGCAAGAGCUCUAUGCAUAUCAGGUUAUUUUUGUGUCCUGAACACACAAAUGCAAUUUGUCGUUCAGAAAAAACCCCUUUUUUUUCUUCAUUGUCCUCAGUGUGGUGGGUACAAGUGGGAGGAUUGCCAGGAAGUCUUAAGCAUUUUAGCUACAGAAAUGCAAUCCAUUUCUGUGCCCUAAAUCAAUUAAUUCACCAUCACAGUGUCAGUGCUGGAUACACAAUUUCAGAAAGAGGAAGUACAAGAAAGAAAGGUAAAAUACAGAAGAGUGGACUAGAAGCUUACAAUAACUUGCUCUUCCAGGUGAAUGUGCUUUUAGCUGUCAUUAUGUGGUGAAAUACAGUCAUGGCACAGGUCUCAGCUACUGUACCAGUUUCAUAAGUCUGUGCUAAUGAAUUACCAUUUUGCCUACAAAUAUUUGCUCCUGUGACAAAUGCUUCUAGAACUUUGUGGCAAAAGAGACACUCAGUACCUACCAUUGUCUAAAUCCCAUAAGGAAACAAAGAACAAAUUGCCAAGAAAACAUAAUGGAUUUAAUAGGAAUACAUAAUGUAACAUGAGUAAAACUGAGGCAAGAUAGUAUCAAGGUGUCAGAGUUACAGAAUAUUCAAGUGCAACAACUGGAUGGAGUAUCACACCCACAGUGAUGAAGAGCAUGACAGAAGAGUGGUCUGUGUCUUUCAACAUUUGGAAAAGCUGGUUUGUUCAGUAAUACAUAUGUGAACACAUCAACAGAAACCAAGCAAAGUAAGCCCUAACCUUCUUAAAAGAAAAUCUUUAUAAAGGUAAUUAGCUCCUUAAAUAAAAUUUAUAGUUAGUGUUUAAGCAAAAAUUUAGGAACAUCAAUUUGCAGGUUGAUGUAACCAGAACAGUAAAAUUGUUUAUUUUAAGACAUCCUUAUUCUAGACUGAGGAAAGUCAUCCUACUGCCUUGAUUCUUCAUGUAAAAUAGGGAGCACCAAGUAACUCUCAGCCAUUAGAACUUUUCUAAGUAUUUCUGAAUAGCUCUUUAUAGCAUGGACACUGACAACACUAUGUUAAAAAUUCAGCCUUGGGUGGGGUGGCAGGAAAUGGAGAGGGGAAAGGAGGAAAAAGCUGACCCUAGAACAUUUUGACAUGUCACAGGCUAAGCCUAUCAGUAUUCUUGGAUUUCAGGAUAGUCUUAUAUCCCUUGAAAGGUUUGUUCUCUGUGACACUUCAGGGAUAAAGCCUGGUAAUGCUUGUUUGAUUCUUUCCAAGUCGUGCAUUUUUGCUGAGAAAGAAUUGGUUUGCAUUCAGAUUUUUGAAACCUCCAGAAUACCAGAAAGGAUAUUUCAGAAACAUUAGUGUGAGAAGUCCUAAAUAAUUUUAGGGAAUAAUGUUUUGGCACCUGAAUGUUUAUAUAUACAAAUACGUAUUUUCAAGCAUAUUCCUUUUGCCAAGCCUGAGCCAUAUGACUCAAAGGAAAGCUAACAUGACUAUUUUAGUACUAGAACAUGUAUUUCCAUCUUACAUUGGUAAUUCACACCAUCAUCAUAUUUCUGUAAAUCUUCCAUCACCUACCAUCACUAGGCUGUGAUCUAUUACAAGAGAUGGGAUCUCAACAUAAAACAUCAACAGUUUUCUAUAGGGGACUUUUUGCAGAUUUUUAGAGACUUAAUUCCAAGUACACAAUUCUCCUGCUUCGACUAACUGACUUGUGAUGUACAAACCAUCUCAGGUGGCUGUACAAUGACUUCCUGCUAGAAAAAAAUAACAAACUUUGUCCUUUUCUCUCAACUAUGAGCCAAAAAGCCCUUUUCAGAGGCUGCAAAUAUGCAGGAGAGAUAUAUGAAGCCUUUUUCCAAAAUGAGCAGGCAGUGUAGAAGUUGAAGCCAGUGAAUUAUGCAGGUUCUCUUCAUGUUGGAGAUAAUUUUGCCCUGCCUGUCUGUAGCUAUUGCUGCUGAGUGAAGUUCACUCCAGGGUGAGCAGCUCCACUGUUCUGACAGCUUCUGUCCUGUAAAUCAUCCACUCCUGUGCAGAUUGCUGACACAGCACACCACAAAUAGCCUACACCAUCCUUAGCACACACUAAAGACUGUUUCACAAGCAAGUAAUUCAAACAUCACUGCUAAAGCUUCCUUUUCCAAGGAAUAAUGUGUUAUACUGGAACUAAACACUAAUGUGAAGGAAUAAUUUAAGCUUAACAGUGUAACAAAAAAAAAUUCUUGCUGAGGCCAACUUUUAAACCAUUCAAGAUUUUCACCGUGAAUUACUUUUUAAUAAUUAAAAUGAAGUUUAACAACAAUGUUCUCCCUCAAUCAGGUUAAAGGAUUAGACUUCCAAAUCAAUAAGUAGGUCCUGUCUCCUCUCCUCUUACUCUCUUCCCAUGCAAGUAAAUAAUCGUUCUUGAGCAGGCUGGUAGCAUUAAAUGUAAAGCAACAUAUCAAAAACUCCAGUCUGCAUAAAACAUCCUUCUAAACCAUUAACUGUGAUCCUGCAGCACUUAAAGAAAGGGUCUCACUGAUGGCAGCAGGGAUCUGGAGUGCAGUGAUUUUUUGGACCUAAAACAAAGUCUUUACCUUCACAGCAACAGCAAAAGCUGUUAGAAUUGUCUUAGAACUUUCCAAAGCACCUAUAACAAUUUUCAGUAGUAUGAUUACUAGAUGCUACUAAAUUUCAGCUUCCAAAUUUCACCUACUUGAGUACUCAAUAUGCCAGUUUUCAGCAUGUACAUAAAAUAUCCUACAAAACUACCUACAACACAGACUGAGAGUGUGGCAAGUCAGCUAAGUGAUGUUUUAAUAGAGGGUCAGAUGAAGACACCUUCCAGAACUUGGAGAGCACAUUCAAGUUGCUCCAAAGCUUAAGAAUGAAAUAGUUAUCAAAUUAUAUAUUUGUUCAAUUCUAUAACAUUCAUGAGAAAGAACUGGUGGUGUUUAGAAGUUGCAAUAGUCAUAUUUUUUCAGCUAAAAAUGUUCUGAUAUAUAACAUACACCUCGUUACAUUUUUACAUACAUGACACUUUGCUCUUUCAAACUUGUUCUGCAGAAAUUAAUCUGUGCAAUGUGCUCUGGGAUGACCCUGCUUGAGCAGGGAGGGUGAACCAGAUGACCCACUGUGGUCCCUUUCAACCUGAACCAUUCUGAUUGUGUGAUUCCCUUUGACAGUAUCUGAAAGUUGAGUCUCUCUGAUGAGCUCCACUCAUUAGAUAGAGACAUUGG